rnacentral:lncRNA from 1 species
ACAUCUGAAAAAUACAGAAGAGCAAAAACGGCGCACAAAAGCUUCUGCUACUUCUUCUUUCAUUUUCUAGAAAAUCACUCAAAAAGAACCCAACAGCUCUUUAACGAUGGAAACACCUUAACAACCUUUCUUCUUCUUCACUUGGCAGCCAUUUUCUGGCUCUCCAUCUUCACAAAAGAAGACCCAAAUCUGAAAAUCCCAUCUCUAAAAGAAAAGAAAAGAAAUAUUCGGAAAAACCUCCUCCUUCUCACGCAAGAAGGUAGCCAAGAAUCUACUGAUCUCCACACACACGAAUACAUCACUCUCUCUAAUCUCAUUCACACACAAUUUGCACGCUAGAAGCAUAUAAAUCCGGAAUCAAAUACAGAUCUGAGAAUUGUAAAAGGACUCCAUAAACACGAAAUUAAAAAAAACAGAUAUAAAAAGGAGGUUUCAGAGUUUAAUGGAAUUGUGGAGUUUGGUUCGAAGCUGGGAAGCGCCGUGGAAAUCGUUGUUGUCUGUUGCUGCUUUAAGCCAAGUAUGUUCUGAAUAAGACCAAAAUUUCUUUUUCUGUUUGUGCAUCAAAUUAAAGGUCAGGUUUUUUAUUUUGGUUAUGUUGAGCUUUGUUAAAGUUAAGUGUUAGCGGAAGAGUACUAGUAUUUUAUCAAAUUAUAAAUAUUCUCAACAGUAGUAUAAUAUAUUUUGCCAAUAUCAAUUAAAAUUC